ensembl:lncRNA
GCUGUCUUCAAGCUGGACAAAGAUGCUGCUGACCCGGUAAAGUCCAAAAUUCUGCAUGUGUUUGUGUGCUUGCAUAUAUUUGACCUGGAGAUAUAGUCAAAUCAGCUGCAUAGACCAUCUUGAGUGGGACACUCUCCAUCUCCCAGUCUCCUUCAUUACCAAACAGGAGUGCUUGUGUGAGUGAGCGUGUAUGUUGAUACAGUGAGGCUCAUGGUGGCAGCAAACUGAGAAGGUCAGCUCUGAGGUACUGGAGGUUCUGAUGGUUUUCAUCCCAGCUGUUUCACACUCAGCAGCAAAAUUUUAUAGGUUCACUCUGAAUACUUUAAGAAAGACUGCAAAUUAUCUGCAAACAACAGGGAGGUUACCACUAACCCCCUAUACUGGACAUGUCUCCAAACUUGUUUGCAUCGUAAUAUCCUGUCCAUGACGUUCAUAAACAGGAGUGAUGACAAGACAUAUGCUUAAUGGAGUCAAA